rnacentral:rRNA from 1 species
UGCAUGUCUCAGUACAAGCCGACAUUAAGGUGAAACCGCGAAGAGGCUCAUUAAAUCAGUAUGGUUCCUUAGAUCGUACCCACAUUUACUUGGAUAACUGUGGUAAUUCUAGAGCUAAUACAUGCAAACAGAGCUCCAACCGGAAACGGAAGGAGCGCUUUUAUUAGAUCAAAACCGAUCGGUGGCGGUUUCCGUCAUCGUACAACUUGGUGACUCUGAAUAACUUUACGCUGAUCGCACGGUCUCGCACCGGCGACGCAUCUUUCAAAUGUCUGCCUUAUCAACUGUCGAUGGUAGGUUCUGCGCCUACCAUGGUUGUAACGGGUAACGGGGAAUCAGGGUUCGAUUCCGGAGAGGGAGCCUGAGAAACGGCUACCACAUCCAAGGAAGGCAGCAGGCGCGCAAAUUACCCACUCCCGGCACGGGGAGGUAGUGACGAAAAAUAACGAUACGGGACUCAUCCGAGGCCCCGUAAUCGGAAUGAGUACACUCUAAACCCUUUAACGAGGAUCAAUUGGAGGGCAAGUCUGGUGCCAGCAGCCGCGGUAAUUCCAGCUCCAAUAGCGUAUAUUAAAGUUGUUGCGGUUAAAAAGCUCGUAGUCGAAUCUGUGUCCCGCGCCGCCGGUUCAUCGUUCGCGGUGUCAACUGGCGUGUCGCGGGACGUCCUGCCGGUGGGCUUAGCUCGAGAGGGCGGCCCAACUCAAUCCCGCCGCGGUGCUCUUCAUUGAGUGUCGAGGUGGGCCGGCACGUUUACUUUGAACAAAUUAGAGUGCUUAAAGCAGGCUAAAACUUCGCCUGAAUACUGUGUGCAUGGAAUAAUGGAAUAGGACCUCGGUUCUAUUUUGUUGGUUUUCGGAACCCCGAGGUAAUGAUUAAUAGGAACGGAUGGGGGCAUUCGUAUUGCGACGUUAGAGGUGAAAUCUUGGAUCGUCGCA